rnacentral:rRNA from 1 species
UACAGAGGGGGCGAGCGUUAUUCGGAAUUAUUGGGCGUAAAGGGCGCGUAGGCGGCUUUGCAAGUGACGGGUGAAAGCCCUCGGCUUAACCGAGGAACUGCCUGUCAGACUGUGAGGCUUGAGACCGGGAGAGGUGAGUGGAAUUCCCAGUGUAGCGGUGAAAUGCGUAGAUAUUGGGAGGAACACCAGUGGCGAAGGCGGCUCACUGGACCGGAACUGACGCUGAGGCGCGAAAAGCGUGGGGAGCAAACAGG